rnacentral:rRNA from 1 species
AGAGUUUGAUCCUGGCUCAGAGUGAACGCUGGCGGCGUGCCUAGUACAUGCAAGUCGAACGAUGAAUCUUCUAGCUUGCUAGAAGUGGAUUAGUGGCGCACGGGUGAGUAAUGCAUAGGUUAUGUGCCCUUUAGUCUGGGAUAGCCACUGGAAACGGUGAUUAAUACUGGAUACUCCCUACGGGGGAAAGCUUUUCGCUAAAGGUUCAGCCUAUGUCCCAUCAGCUUGUUGGUGAGGUAAUGGCUCACCAAGGCUAUGACGGGUAUCCGGCCUGAGAGGGUGAUCGGACACACUGGAACUGAGACACGGUCCAGACUCCUACGGGAGGCAGCAGUAGGGAAUAUUGCUCAAUGGGGGAAACCCUGAAGCAGCAACGCCGCGUGGAGGAUGUAGGUUUUAGGAUUGUAAACUCCUUUUGUUAGAGAAGAUUAUGACGGUAUCUAACGAAUAAGCACCGGCUAACUCCGUGCCAGCAGCCGCGGUAAUACGGAGGGUGCAAGCGUUACUCGGAAUCACUGGGCGUAAAGAGUGCGUAGGCGCCUCAAUAAGUCAGAUGUGAAAUCCUGUAGCUUAACUACAGAACUGCAUUUGAAACUGUUACUCUGGAGUGUGGGAGAGGUAGGUGGAAUUCUUGGUGUAGGGGUAAAAUCCGUAGAGAUCAAGAGGGAUACUCAUUGCGAAGGCGACCUGCUGGAACAUUACUGACGCUGAUGCACGAAAGCGUGGGGAGCAAAACAGGAUUAGAUACCCUGGUAGUCCACGCCCUAAACGAUGGAUGCUAGUUGUUGCCUUGCUUGUCAGGGCAGUAAAUGCAGCUAACGCAUUAAGCAUCCCGCCUGGGGAGUACGGUCGCAAGAUUAAAACUCAAAGGAAUAGACGGGGACCCGCACAAGCGGUGGAGCAUGUGGUUUAAUUCGAAGAUACGCGAAGAACCUUACCUAGGCUUGACAUUGAUAGAAUCUACUAGAGAUAGUGGAGUGCCCUUCGGGGAGCUUGAAAACAGGUGCUGCACGGCUGUUGUCAGCUCGUGUCGUGAGAUGUUGGGUUAAGUCCUGCAACGAGCGCAACCCUCGUCCUUAGUUGCUAGCAGUUCGGCUGAGCACUCUAAGGAGGCUGCCUUCGUAAGGAGGAGGAAGGUGAGGACGACGUCAAGUCAUCAUGGCCCUUACGCCUAGGGCUACACACGUGCUACAAUGGGGCGCACAAAGAGGAGCAAUAUCGCGAGGUGGAGCAAAUCUCAAAAACGUCUCUCAGUUCGGAUUGUAGUCUGCAACUCGACUACAUGAAGCUGGAAUCGCUAGUGAUCGUGGAUCAGCCAUGUCACGGUGAAUACGUUACCGGGUCUUGCACUCACCGCCCGUCA